rnacentral:rRNA from 1 species
UACGUGGGGUGCGAGCGUUGUCCGGAAUUAUUGGGCGUAAAGGGCUCGUAGGCGGUUUGUCGCGUCGGGCGUGAAAACCAUGGGCUUAACUCAUGGCUUGCUUCCGAUACGGGCAGACUAGAGGUAUGCAGGGGAGAACGGAAUUCCUGGUGUAGCGGUGAAAUGCGCAGAUAUCAGGAGGAACACCGGUGGCGAAGGCGGUUCUCUGGGCAUUACCUGACGCUGAGGAGCGAAAGUGUGGGGAGCGAACAGG